rnacentral:rRNA from 2 species
AACAAGCUUGCCUCUUGGGGUUGUAGGACACACUAUACGGAGUUACAAAAGAACAUGUUAGACGAAUCAUCUGGAAAGAUGAAUCAAAGAAGGUAAUAAUCCUGUAGUUGAAAACAUAUUCUCUCUUGAGUGGAUCCUGAGUACGACGGAGCACGUGAAAUUCCGUCGGAAUCUGGGAGGACCAUCUCCUAAGGCUAAAUACUCUCUAGUGACCGAUAGUGAACCAGUACCGUGAGGGAAAGGUGAAAAGUACCCCGGAAGGGGAGUGAAAGAGAACUUGAAACCGUGUGCUUACAAGUAGUCAGAGCCCGUUAAUGGGUGAUGGCGUGCCUUUUGUAGAAUGAACCGGCGAGUUACGAUCUGAUGCAAGGUUAAGCAGCAAAUGUGGAGCCGCAGCGAAAGCGAGUCUGAAUAGGGCGUUGAGUAUGUGGUUGUAGACCCGAAACCAGGUGAUCUACCCAUGGCCAGGGUGAAGUUCAGGUAACACUGAAUGGAGGACCGAACCGACUUACGUUGAAAAGUGAGCGGAUGAACUGAGGGUAGCGGAGAAAUUCCAAUCGAACUUGGAGAUAGCUGGUUCUCUCCGAAAUAGCUUUAGGGCUAGCCUCAAGUGAU